ACUGUCCCUCCCAGGGCAGGACUCAAGAGCGGGAGCCACGACUCCAUGUGCCCAAACAUGGGGAUGGGCAGCCACCGGGCCCCUCUGUCUCGCGAAGUUUCUCAGGACCCUGGGCUUUGCCACGGUCUCAGUCCUUCUCAACGUCUCCCUCCCUUAAUGCGCCUUCUUUCUUUUUCCUGUCCCUUCAAGAAUUAGAGUGGUCCUUUAAUUCUUUUUGUUUCCUCUCUUUUCGAUUUCCUUCUUUUGUGUCCAUCCUUCCUGCUUUCCUUCUUCCUCUCCCUCUUUUUAAAAUUGCAUUACUGUCAUACCUGGUUUCCCUGCAGUUCUUGGGUGGAGUUCGAGGACCCUCCCUGGUGGAAGGCGUUUGUGUUCUACCAAAAGAGGAGCCCUUCUGACCGAGGCUUCAGAGCUCAGCGUGGCGCCGACGGGACCACCUUUCCCUUCUCACCUCUUUUCCUCUCCACCUUCCAGGAAACCACUAUCUAUCCAUCUAUCCAUCUAUCUUCUGUAUACGAGUAGAAGGAGGAGGAGGAGGAGGAAAAUCAGGAAUCCACGCAAAGUUUUCCAAGCUCCCUGAAGUGGUUGGGCACAUCAGUAGCUGAGAGACUCCUCUGACCAUGGCCAGCCUCAGGAAGUGAGUGUCAACAGCCUUGCAGAUGGGAACUCAACUCCUGGGUACCCAUGCCUGAAAAGACAAUUUCGCUCUUGAUGCCCAGGCUGGAGUGUAAUGGCAUGAUCUCAGCUCACUGCAACCUCCGCCUCCCAGAUUCAAGCAAUUCUUCUGCCUCAGCCUCCCAAGCUGGGAUUACAGGCAUGUGUCACCAUGCACCUCUUGCACCCGGUCUCCUUCUCAGAGUCUGAUGCCCAGGAAAUCUGAUCUGUGGCAGUGUGGGGAUUCAUCCAAGAAUGAAGACUGUUUGUAAAUUGAGAUUUGAGGGUGGAAUCAUCCACUGGCCAGCCAGCUGUGAGGACCAGCCGCUGGUGGUUGGGGGUGCACAAAUGGCCUCAGGCCCGCUGUACUGCUGCAACUAUUAAAACUCCACCAUGGUGUACAUGGAAGGAUGGCUGGUAGAAUAGGACUUACUGGCAAGUAGUGUAUCAGGCAUUUGAGAGAUACAGGGCAAUAGUCAUUAUAAAGACAAUAGAACUAGAUAGUUGUUGUUAGGAAAUAAUCUAUUCUUUGGGGCAAGACCGUAAAAGGCUGAGGGUAAUUAAUCACCUCUUACAGGCUAAGUCAGAAUUCCAGAGGACAUCCUCAGAAGCAUAAAAAGAUACCCUCAUCUCCUAUCAUUGGAGUGCAGAAAAACCUGAGGAAUGAAUUUAGGAUUUAAUUAUGGAAGCACAGAGUUUCAGAGAAGGUUGAGUUCUGAGUUCCACAGACCAGCUCUGCCAAGGUCAGAGCCCUAAUUAUGAAGGAAUGGAACUGCAAUACAUGGGAUGUGGACAACUGAUGUAGGAUUUUUUCUUCUUGGUCACUUUGCAAGCCUGGGACCUCCAGCCAGUGAUGUCCGCCCAGGGCUUGCUUGGCUAUGCUGGUGUGCCUCAGCUUGUCUGUGUUAUAGCUUGUACCCACAUUUGGUGAUUCUCAAGCUCUUGUACCACACCCAAGAAGAUUGAGGAUAUGCUGCACAUUGAAGGGUGAGGAGGGCAGAGAAGAAUUUUACUGAGCGACCGAACAGCUCUCAGUGGAGAGGGGACACAGGGGAUGGUCCCUCACCCCCACAGUCAGGUGGUUCUCUCCUCCUUGCGUAGGGGCCUGGAGGAGGUCACACCCACGAGCCAGAGCUGACGUUCUUUUUUAGAGACAAAACUUUGCCUCCUUAACCAAUUGCAAAUGAGAAAAUCUUUGAGUCUGCCACCAACCUAUGGGCUCCUGCUUUGAGAUAGCCCACUUUUUUAGGUCAAACCAAUGUAUAGCCUCCGUGUUUUG
rnacentral:lncRNA from 1 species